GACAUAGGUCGCAAACGUUAUCCGGAAUUAUUGGGCGUAAAGGAUGCGUAGAUGGUUCAGUAAGUUACUGGUGGGAAAUCGAGGCUCAACCUCGUGGAAGUCAGUAAUACUGUUGAACUUGAGUGCAGGAGAGGUUAACGGAACUUUAUGUGGAGCGGUAAAAAUGCGUAGAUAUAUAAAAAGAACAUCAAUAUGGCGAAGGCAGUUAACUAUUCUGUUACUGACAUUUGAGGCAUGAAAAGCGUGGGGAGCAAAACGG
rnacentral:rRNA from 1 species